rnacentral:piRNA from 1 species
UCAUUGCAAGGCAGCACUAGACCUGGGCGGU